rnacentral:rRNA from 1 species
AAUUCUAGAGCUAAUACAUAUGUACAGACCCGACUUCUUGGAAGGGUUGUGCUUAUUAGAUACUGAACCAACCGGUGCUUGCACCGUUUUGAGUUGACUCAUAGUAACCAGCGAACCGCAUGCUUCGGCGGCGGUGUGUCAUCCGAGUUUCUGACCUAUCAGCUUCCGACGGUAGGGUAUUGGCCUACCGUUGCUUUGACGGGUAACGGAGAAUUAUGGUUCGAUUCCGGAUAGGGAGCCUGCUAAACGGCUACCACAUUUAAGGAAGGCAGCAGGUGCGCAAAUUAUCCAAUUUUUUUUUAUGGAGGUAGUGACAAGAAAUACCAAUACAAGGCAUCUACGUCUAGUAAUUGGCAUGAGUGAGAUUUACAACGCUUCACGAGUAUCAAUUGGAGGGCAAGUC